rnacentral:rRNA from 1 species
GACGAACGCUGGCGGCGUGCUUAACACAUGCAAGUGGAGCGACGAACCAGGGCUUGCCCUGGGGCAAAGCCGCGAACGGGUGAGUAACACGUGGGUAGCCUGCCCCGAUGACCGGGACAACCCGAGGAAACUCGGGCUAAUACCGGAUGAGCUCACGCCACAUCAGUGGCAUGAGGAAAGGAAGCUUCGGCCUCCGCAUUGGGAUGGGCCCGCGGCCCAUUAGCUUGNGGUGGGGUAAGGCCUACCAAGGCUUCGAUGGGUAGCUGGUCUGAGAGGACGACUCAGCCACACUGGGACUGAGACACGGCCCAGACUCCUACGGGAGGCAGCAGUGGGGAAUCUUGCGCAAUGCGCGAAAGCGUGACGCAGCAACGCCGCGU